CAAGUGUCAUGGAUCGAUUAACUUGGUGGGGUCAUGUAGUGAUCAGAAGAACGAGAAUACAAUAGAACAAUGAGAUAACCUAGCCAAUCCUGUUAGGGCUUACGAACUGGCUUCUGCACUUGUGAACGUGGUUGAGUAGAAAAGCAGGCGAUUUAACAAGAAUGAUUGUGUUUAUAAAACAAAAAAGAAAUUCCCAGAAAUAAUAUGGACCCGCAUCUUUUCAGACGAUUGUUCUUUUACGCUGCAUUAAUCUACGCGAUGUAUCUAUCUUACACUGUUUAUUUCUCUGGAGAAAGAAAUAUUUUCCCAAUUACAGGCUUGGAAAAAGAACAGUCGUAUAACGUAUUGGCCCUGGUGGCGGCGGCAGAAGAUGAGUGCAAACUACCAGGGCAUCUCAAGCGUCAGCAGACCCGAGGAAUGCUGACAAUGCAUCGCUGGUUUGAGAGCUGUACUUGUGGAGUGAGCGUUGACAGGGGGAUGCGCAUUUACCCUAGAUUCCCAAGAAAUCCCGAGGAGAAAACGACAAUAAACAGUUCAGAAUUGAUUGACAAUAAUCAAGGAUACGGCAACAGAAUAUUUGGCUACAUCACACCUAAUGCGUCAGGUAUUUACGUAUUCGCUGUCAGUUCGGAUGAUUACUCCGAACUCUGGCUUAGUUCUGAUUCAAGUCCGAAAAACGUUCAGCUGAUUGCACACGUAGGAAAGCUUGACACAGAUAGUGGGCCGAGCUCUGGAUACCGAAUGUUUAAUCACAUAAAGGGACAAGUUUCACAGCCAAUCAAUUUAACAGCACAUUCUACGUACUACAUCGAGGCACUACACCGUAACAAGGGAGGUGACGGCCAUUUCACUCUCGCGUGGAAUGCACCUUGGAUGAUGAACAGUAGUGACUUUCUUCUCAUCGACACUAGUGUACUAUCUCCUUACUUCGAUGACUUUGAAAUGGAAAAGGGGCUGCUCAGAAUGCGAGAAGAAUGCGUGAUGUCAGAUCACAUGACUUUGGAGUUACACAAGGCUCCAAAUUUGAAUGCCAGAGGGAUGGAAAGCGAGCGUGACCACUAUUGUCACAAAGUCCCCAAGCUUAACCAUAGCGCAGUGGCAGAUGCCUUACCGUAUUGCUACUACAUGGCGUCAUACACCCCGACAACGAAGGUUUCCGGGUACUACGCCUAUAUACGUGAUCUGGCAAGACCGACCGACAUCUACCCUGACGAUAAGACAACUCUUAUUAAUAACGAAGGCGUUGGUAAAGGCAAUCAGCCAAUACCAGAAAAGGAAGUCAAUCAAGUGGUGCACGAGUAUCUUGCUGAACUUCUUGCAAUUAAAAAAGACAAAUACGAGUUUCUUCGAAUCUUAAAUGUCGAAAGGAAGGUUGACAGUGAGAAGGGUUACCGUUAUCUUCUCGAGUUGGAGCUCAAACACAAGAUAACAAAUCGCUUGGUGCGUCUGUCGGAGUUCGUGUACAAGUUCAAUGACAAGUACAUUUCCAAGAAUCCUAACACAACUACUUCGCUGUGCUACCCCGAGGGGUUCCAGUGGUCACAAGAGCCGAAAAUCUACAUUAUUUUACCAGUUCAGAAUUAUGGCUUCUGGAUCAUGUAUCUCAUCGAUAGUCUCUCUCACAUCUAUACGAGCACACCCGAAAGAAACUUUCAUCUUGUUAUAGUAGAUUUCAAUACUACGGAUAUAAAUAUUGAAGAUUAUCUUAAAAAAUCAGCUUUAAAUAAAAGCUACACAUUUGUGAAAAUGAAAGGUAGUUUCUUCAAAACGCUUGCUCUCAACACAGGAGUGGCGACAGUCAAGGACAACAAUAGUAUAGUAUUUCUGAUGGACCUACACAUAACAUGGCCAUUGUGCUUCUUUGACGUGAUACGAAAGCACGUGAUUAAAGGCAUGGCAGGUUUCUUCCCGAAGCUCGCUCGUCUCUCAUGCGGCGCAUCUGAUCUUUACCCAGAAGGGUCAUGGGAAUGGAUGGGGUACGGAUUGUUUGCUUGUUAUAAAGAGGACUGGGACCGGUUUGGUGGAGAAGACGUGGAAAAGUUUAAAUAUACUUGGGGCGGAGAGGACUGGGACUUACUGGACAAGUAAGGGACGAGAUGGACUGGGACCGGACGAGGUAGACUGGGACCGGUUUGGAGGAGAAGACGUGGAAAAGUUUAAAUAUACCAAAUGAAUAUACUUGGGGCGGAGAGGACUGGGACUUACUGGACAGGUAAGGGACGAGGUGGACUGGGACCGGUUUGGAGGAGAAGACGUGGAAAAGUUUAAAUAUACUUUGGGCGGAGAGGACUGGGACUUACUGGACAGGUAAGGGACGAGGUGGACUGGGACUGGUUUGGAGGAGAAGACGUGGAAAAGUUUAAAUAUACUUGGGGCGGAAAGGACUGGGACUUACUGGACAGGUAAGGGACGAGGUGGACUGGGACCGGUUUGGAGGAGAAGACGUGGAAAAGUUUAAAUAUACUUGGGGCGGAGAGGACUGGGACUUACUGGACAGGGUUUGCAGUGUGCAGCUAGAGGCGGAGCGGAUGUGUAUGCCCGGACUUUACCAUUUCCCUCAC